rnacentral:rRNA from 1 species
UACGUAGGGCGCAAGCGUUGUCCGGAAUUAUUGGGCGUAAAGAGCGUGUAGGCGGUCCGGUAAGUCAGCUGUGAAAGUCAAGGGCUCAACCCUUGAAAGCCGGUUGAUACUGUCGGGCUAGAGUCCGGAAGAGGCGAGUGGAAUUCCCGGUGUAGCGGUGAAAUGCGCAGAUAUCGGGAGGAACACCAAUGGCGAAGGCAGCUCGCUGGGACGGUACUGACGCUGAGACGCGAAAGCGUGGGGAGCGAACAGG